rnacentral:rRNA from 1 species
AGACGUAGGGGGCGAGCGUUGUCCGGAAUUACUGGGCGUAAAGAGCACGUAGGCGGAUAUUUAAGUCAGUUGUGAAGGACCGCGGCUCAACCGCGGGGUUGCAAUUGAAACUGGGUAUCUUGAGGGCAGGAGAGGUCAGUGGAAUUCCUGGUGUGGCGGUGAAAUGCGUAGAAAUCAGGAGGAACACCAGUGGCGAAGGCGGCUGACUGGACUGGCCCUGACGCUGAGGUGCGAAAGCGUGGGUAGCAAACAGGAUUAGAUACCCUGGUAGUCCACGCCGUAAACGAUGGAUACUAGGUGUGGGAGGUAUCGACCCCUUCCGUGCCGCAGCUAACGCAAUAAGUAUCCCGCCUGGGGAGUACGGUCGCAAGGCUGAA